rnacentral:rRNA from 1 species
CGCUGAACUUAAGCAUAUCAAUAAGCGGAGGAAAAGAAACCAACAGGGAUUGCCUCAGUAACGGCGAGUGAAGCGGCAACAGCUCAAAUUUGAAAUCUGACUUCGGUCCGAGUUGUAAUUUGCAGAGCACGCAUUGGGUACGGUUUCGGUCUAAGUUCCUUGGAACCGGACGUCAUAGAGGGUGAGAAUCCCGUCUGCAACCGUGUGCCUGUACCCGUGUAAAGCUCCUUCAACGAGUCGAGUUGUUUGGGAAUGCAGCUCAAAAUGGGUGGUAAAUUUCAUCUAAAGCUAAAUACCGGCCAGAGACCGAUAGCGCACAAGUAGAGUGAUCGAAAGAUGAAAAGCACUUUGGAAAGAGAGUUAAACAGUACGUGAAAUUGUUGAAAGGGAAGCGCUUGCAAUCAGACUUGCACCCUGUUGAUCAUCCGACGUUUUCGCCGGUGCACUCAACACCCCAGCCAGCAUCAGUUCUGGUGGUUGGAUAAAGGGGUUGGGAAAGCCCCCCCCCCUCGGGGAGUGUUAUAGCCCUUGGUGUAAUGCAUCCUACUGGGACUGAGGUCCGCGCUUCGGCUAGGAUGCGGCGUAAUGGUUGUAAGCGGCCCGUCUUGAAACACGGACCCAAGGAGUCUAACAUCUAUGCGAGUAUUUGGGUAGAAAACCCAUAUGCGUAAUGAAAGUGAACGGAGGUAGGAGCCUGUAAAGGUGCACUAUCGACCGAUCCUGAUGUCUUCGGAUGGAUUUGAGUAAGAGCAUAGCUGUUGGGACCCGAAAGAUGGUGAACUAUGCUUGGGUCGGGUGAAGCCAGAGGAAACUCUGGUGGAGGCUCGUAGGGGUUCUGACGUGCAAAUCGAUCUCGUGACCUGUGCAUAGGGGCGUUCUUUCGCCCCUACAACAGGGUCUGCUUAGCAGGCUACACCUCCACUGUGCUGGAAUUUAGGGUACUAAUACCAGCGGCCCAGCAAUGGGUUCACAGAUCAAAUAGGGGUGACCGUGCCUAUGGGCACGGUUGAGAUAUGAUCGGGAGCAAGCUGUAACCAGCUUGCACUCACUGGAAAGACUAAUCGAACCAUAAACAACUAGGUGGUUAAGGAAGCAAUUCAGUCCUCUGGGCUACGCUACCAGCCUGUAAGGAGUUACCUCUGGGUGAUACCUGCAGCACUUGCUUCGGUGAGUGUUCACAGACUAAACAGUGGCGGCCAGCCUUGUGCUGGUGUUGAUAUAGUCGGCUGUGGCC